UUGGCUAGCUUCGGAUGGAAAUCGAAGCGAUAGGGCAAAGCCAUAAGCCAGCUUUACUGCAAGACGGCUAUGUCGCGCAGUUGCGAAAGCAGAACUUAGUGAACCGACUCAUUUUUAUAGAAAAUGAGAAGAUCAUCAGCCAAAAGCUACUCCGGGGAUAGACUCUGACCUGCCCGCCGAAAGUUAUCGGCGCAGGCGGGAAAAAGAGUUUGUUGUCCAACCCAUUCGUGAGAAUGGGCGCUUGGGAAAUUACCACUUUUUCCAGGCACGUACGGCUUAUAACGGUGAACCAUGGAUUGGUCUUCCCUCAAAAAAGGGUUUAAAAUCCAUUGGAAUACCGUGGGAAGUCGGAAGAAUAGUUUUACUAAAAUCAUGAUUUCUUUAUCUAAGGAGCAAGAAUCAAUUCUUUUUGGAAUAAUUUUAGGAGACGGAUAUUUGCAAAAAACUGGGGAAAAUAACGCACGAUUAAGAUUAGAACAUGGAUAUAAGCAAAAAGAAUAUCUUAUUUGGAAAAUAGAAAGGUUAAAGCAGUUAUUCCAGGGAAAACCAAAAUAUAUGGAGAGAAUCCAUCCUUUGACAAAAAGAAAAUAUAAGUAUUGGAGACAUCAAUCGCAAUCCACCCCCUAUUUGGGAAAAUUAAGAAAAAUGUUUUAUCCAGAAGGGAAAAAGAUAAUUCCGGAAAAUCUGGAAAAAUAUAUUUCACCGCAAAUGUUUGCGGUUUGGUAUAUGGAUGAUGGCUAUUAUUAUCAAAGAGAUAAAUGUAGUUAUCUUUAUCUUGGAAAUGUGAGUGAAAAAGAAGCAAAUAUUGUUUCUUCGGCGAUACUUAAAAAGUUUGACAUUCAAACGAAAGUAAAACAAAAGAAGAAGGGGUUUGCAAUUUAUUUUCCCCAUUCACAAAUUGAAAAAUUAAAAUUGCUGAUUAAAAAUUAUAUUAUUAAUUAUUUUAAUUAUAAACUUUCUUCCUGACCCCGUAACGACUUGUCUGAAGUCUCAGACAGAGCGAGGGUAAAAUCCUUGCUAAAACGCCGUCCCCGCCAAAAAUAAAUAUUUGGGCGGGUGAAGAUAUAGUCUAUGUGAAAACAUGAACAGGCUGGUAGAGCCCGAGAGUCCUUAUCGACGGCUCUGUUCGGCACCUCGAUGAAUUAGCCGAAUGUCGAGGAAGUAAACCAACUCAUAACGGAGAAAGCCAUAUAAAAAACCCAGUAAAUUUGCUAUAAUAAAGUAAAUUACACAAUUAUAUGGUCAACACCGUGGGAAGUUGCGAAAAUAAACAUUGGCAUAAAAAGUGGAUUCCAAUUAAAAAGUCUCUUUUGCUGACAAAAAUGCAGAAAGAUUUGAUUAUUGGAUCGCUUCUUGGCGAUGGAACGAUGCGUUUGGGUAAAGGCGCCCAAAAUGUCAACUUUAAGGUAGAACAUGGAUUAGCGCAAAAAGAUUAUGUUAUUUGGAAAUACCAAAUACUUAAAUCAUUUGUAUUUACUGAACCAAAAAUAAGUUACAGAUACGAUAAAAAUGGCAAUAAAUAUGAAAAAUCGUGGUGGUUUAGGACAAUAAGACAUCCAUAUUUUACAGAAAUAUAUAAAAGGUUUUAUAGAGGAAAUGAUUACAAAAAUGGAACAAAAAUAGUUCCGGUUGAAAUUAAAAAAGAAUUAAAUCCUUUUAUCUUGGCAAUUUGGAUUAUGGACGAUGGUUCAUAUUCCAAAAAUAAAAUUGAUAUAAGCACAUAUUCCUUUUCCUUACCGGAAAUAAUUUUUCUGCAGGAAUGCUUUAAAGAUAUUUUUGAUAUCAAAAUAAAUUAUUAUCGCGACCGCGAUAAAGGAUAUCGAAUGUAUUGCAACCAAGAAGAAACAAAAAAAUUAGCCAAUAUCAUUAGUCCGUAUAUUAUCCCUUCGAUGAUGUACAAAAUAGGUUUUCGCAACCCCGUAACGACUGGAUUCCUGCAAAAAGCAGGAUGAAGAUAGUAUUAUUUUUUAUAUACUAUAAAACGUUGGUAUUUAGAUGGACAUCUAAAUAAAGGUAUAGUCUGCGCUAUUAGUAAUAAUAGAAUUUUGUGGUCGGCUCAACUUAUCCUGGGGGUGGAGAAGCUCCCAAGGGUCCGGCUGUUCGCCGGUUAAAAAGUUACGUGAGCUGGGUUCAAACCGUCAAAAAUGAACCAUAUAUAUCGAGAUCAACACGGCGGCUUUCAUGAGCAAUUGUGAUAGCAAACCGACUCAUAUCGGUGAAUUCCUAACAAAGUAUUGAACAUUAACCUGUCAUAUGUUAGGAUAAUACCGAGGGAAGUUGUGUAUGAAAAAGUUGAUUUCGCAAACAAAAAGAGCAUAUUUAGCUGGUUUUCUCGAUGGAGACGGCAGUAUUUAUGUGCAAUUAAAGCCAAACAAAACAUACAAGUUUGGUUUCCAAGUUGCGCCGUAUAUUGUCUUGUUCCAAUCGCAGAAAGACCAGAAAAAUUUUGAGAAACUUUGCUCGAUGAUAAAUCUUGGUUAUAUAAGAAUUAGAAAAGAUGGUAUUCUAGAAUAUAUCAUCGGAAAACAAGAAAAUAUAAUCAAAUUUUUAAAUUUAGUAGAGCCAUACGUUGUGAUGAAAAAGUUACAGGUGGCGCUUCUAAAAAAGAUUAUCAUUGCAAAAAGUAAAGUUGAAAAUAAAAAAGAUUUUGAAGCUCUUGCGAAAUUAAUUGAUACUUUUCGGGAAUUAAAUUAUUCCAAAAAUAGAAAAGUACGUACAUUAACCCCGUAGAGACUUGUCCUAUUUUUAGGGCAGAUAAAAUUAGAAAUAAUUUUAUAAAACGUCGGGUUCCGUAAAAAAAUAGUUACAAAUAUACGGAAUAUGGUAUAGUCCACGCACUUAGUAAUAAGUGGUAUAAGCGUGAGACAGGUUGGUCCCUAUCUACCGCAGGCGUUGAGUUUUGAGGAGAUUUGUUCCUAGUACGAGAGGACCGGAAUGAACUGACCUCUGGUGUAUCAGUUGUCCUGCCAAGGGCAUUGCUGAGUAGCUAAGUCGGGAAUAGAUAAGCGCUGAAAGCAUAUAAGCGCGAAACUAACUCCAAGAUGAGAACUCAUAGAUUCCCCGUAGAUGACGGGGUUGAUAGGCUCCAGGUGUAAGGGCAGUAAUGCCUUCAGCCGGGGAGUACUAAUAAAUCAUAGACCUGC
rnacentral:rRNA from 1 species